UACGGAGGGAGCGAGCGUUAAUCGGAAUUACUGGGCGUAAAGCGCGCGUAGGCGGCUUUGUAAGUCGGAUGUGAAAGCCCAGGGCUUAACCCUGGAAUUGCAUUCGAUACUGCAUAGCUAGAGUAUGGUAGAGGGAAGUGGAAUUUCCGGUGUAGCGGUGAAAUGCGUAGAUAUCGGAAGGAACACCAGUGGCGAAGGCGACUUCCUGGGCCAAUACUGACGCUGAGGUGCGAAAGCGUGGGGAGCAAACAGGAUUAGAUACCCCCGUA
rnacentral:rRNA from 1 species